AUACGGAGGAUCCGAGCGUUAUCCGGAUUUAUUGGGUUUAAAGGGUGCGCAGGCGGGAUGUUAAGUCGGCGGUGAAAUUUUUCGGCUCAACUGGAAAAGUGCCUUUGAUACUGGCUUUUUUGAGUGUGGAUGAAGUAGGCGGAAUUUGUGGUGUAGCGGUGAAAUGCUUAGAUAUCACGAGGAACUCCGAUUGCGCAGGCAGCUUACUAAACCACUACUGACGCUCAUGCACGAAGGCGUGGGGAUCAAACAGGAUUAGAUACCCUGGUAGUCCACGCAGUAAACGAUGAUUACUAGUUGUUUGCGAUACAAUGUAAGCGACUGAGCGAAAGCGUUAAGUAAUCCACCUGGGGAGUACGUUCGCAAGAAUGAAACUCAAAGGAAUUGACGGGG
rnacentral:rRNA from 1 species